UACGUAGGGGGGCAAGCGUUGUCCGGAAUCAUUGGGCGUAAAGAGCGUGUAGGCGGCUCGGUAAGUCCGCUGUGAAAGUCCAGGGCUCAACCCUGGAAUGCCGGUGGAAACUGUCGAGCUAGAGUCCGGAAGAGGCGAGUGGAAUUCCUGGUGUAGCGGUGAAAUGCGCAGAUAUCAGGAGGAACACCAUGGCGAAGGCAGCUCGCUGGGGACGGUACUGACGCUGAGACGCGAAAAGCGUGGGGGAGCAAAACAGG
rnacentral:rRNA from 1 species